AUUCUAUAUUUAUGAUUUUUUUUUGAAAAAAAUCUCUGGAAAUUUAUCUGUGGAGGGAAUCAUAUAUUUGAUUUGGUUUAUGUUUUUCUUUGUUUCCGCUCUUUUGGAUUUUUUUAAUUACUUAUUAACAUGAAUGAAUCGUGUAAUUAUUAUUGCUAGGCUUGAUUGAUUUAAUUGGAUUAAAAGUGGUGAUCUGAAAGUAAUUAAUCAAAUUUACAAGAGCCCAGAAUUUAUAUAUAAAAAACCAGGUUAUAUAUAUUUGUGUGUGUGUGUG
rnacentral:misc_RNA from 1 species